GAGAGAGCCCUGCUGAUUUGGCCAAGGGGCACAGACUUAAUAUAAGUGAUCCAGAAGCAGGGUUGCAUGUCUUAUGUGUUUAGUUAAGCAAUGGCUUCCUCCAGGCACCUAUGGACCAGUGUAAAGAGUGUACUUUGCUGCCAGUGUAUAAAAGAUGGUGUGUUAGAGCCUCAGAAGAAGGAGCCACCUCCACUGUGUGUGUCUGAUGGCCCUGUGUGUCCAGAGGAUGGGGUGGCUCCACUCCAGACUAGUGCGAGUCCCCAGCAUGACCGUCCCCUUCCUCCUGCCCAUGCAGAGCCUCAGACCAGAGAAACACCAAAUCAAAAUGCUGAACUACUUUAUCUACAGCGCAUUCAUGAGCUCGAGGAGGAACUGAAAUGUUCUCAGUCGUGGACCAGACAGCUGUCCUGCCGUGUGAAUGAGCUGGAGCGCCUCAUGUGCCCAGAG